GACGAACGCUGGCGGCGUGCCUAAUACAUGCAAGUCGAGCGAAGUUUUUCUGGUGCUUACACUAGAAAAACUUAGCGGCGAACGGGUGAGUAACACGUAAAGAACCUGCCUCAUAGACUGGGACAACUAUUGGAAACGAUAGCUAAUACCGGAUAACAGCAUUAACUGCAUGGUUGAUGUUUAAAAGUUGGUUUUGCUAACACUAUGAGAUGGCUUUGCGGUGCAUUAGCUAGUUGGUGGGGUAAAGGCCUACCAAGGCGACGAUGCAUAGCCGACCUGAGAGGGUGAUCGGCCACACUGGGACUGAGACACGGCCCAGACUCCUACGGGAGGCAGCAGUAGGGAAUCUUCCGCAAUGGGCGAAAGCCUGACGGAGCAACGCCGCGUGAGUGAAGAAGGAUUUCGGUUCGUAAAGCUCUGUUGUUAGGGAAGAAUGAUUGUGUAGUAACUAUACAC
rnacentral:rRNA from 1 species